GGGGCUGUAGCUCAGCUGGGAGAGCACCUGCUUUGCAAGCAGGGGGUCAGGAGUUCGAUCCUCCUCAGCUCCA
rfam:Acidobacterium capsulatum ATCC 51196, complete genome.